rnacentral:rRNA from 1 species
UACGUAGGAGGCGAGCGUUAUCCGGAUUCACUGGGCGUAAAGCGCAUGUAGGCGGUUGGCUAAGUCCGUUGUUAAAGCCCCUGGCUCAACUGGGGGAGGUCAAUGGAGACUAUUCGACUUGAGGGCAACAGAGGCACAUGGAACUCCAGGUGUAGCGGUGAAAUGCUUAGAUAUCUGGAGGAACACCAGUGGCGAAGGCGGUGUUCUGGGCCUGUACUGACGCUGAUGCGCGAAAGCGUGGGGAGCGAACAGG